AUUGAACGCUGGCGGCAUGCCUAACACAUGCAAGUCGAGCGGAGCGGCGGACGGGUGAGUAAUGCCUAGGAAUCUGCCCGGUAGUGGGGGCUAACGUCCGGAAACGGGCGCUAAUACCGCAUACUAUCAGAUGAGCCUAGGGUGGAUUAGCUAGUAGGUGGGGUACUGGCUCACCUAGGCGACGAUCCCUCGCUGGGCCGAGAGGAUGACCAGCCAAACUGGAGUGGAGACAAGUGCCAGACGCAUACGAGAGGCAGCAGUGGGGAAUAUUGCACAAUGGGCGCAAGCCUGAUGCAGCCAUGCCGCGUGUAUGAAGAAGGCCUUCGGGUGGUAAAGUACUGACAGCGGGGAGGCGGUACCCGCAGAAGAAGCACCGGCUAACUACGUGCCAGCAGCCGCGGUAAUAC
rnacentral:rRNA from 1 species